rnacentral:rRNA from 1 species
CCUACGGGAGGCAGCAGUCGAGAAUCAUUCACAAUGGGGGAAACCCUGAUGGUGCGACGCCGCGUGGGGGAAUGAAGGUCUUCGGAUUGUAAACCCCUGUCAUGUGGGAGCAAAUUAAAAAGAUAGUACCACAAGAGGAAGAGACGGCUAACUCUGUGCCAGCAGCCGCGGUAAUACAGAGGUCUCAAGCGUUGUUCGGAAUCACUGGGCGUAAAGCGUGCGUAGGCUGUUUCGUAAGUCGUGUGUGAAAGGCGCGGGCUCAACCCGCGGACGGCACAUGAUAAUGCGAGACUAGAGUGAUGGAGGGGGAACCGGAAUUCUCGGUGUAGCAGUGAAAUGCGUAGAUAUCGAGAGGAACACUCGUGGCGAAGGCGGGUUCCUGGACAUUAACUGACGCUGAGGCACGAAGGCCAGGGGAGCGAAAGGGAUUAGAUACCCGAGUAGUC